GGAGAAACUUUUAGGAGAAACUAAAGAUCUGACAGAGAAAUAUGAGAAGAUUGAAGAAGAGCUGCAGAAAACCAAAGAAGAACUGAAGAACAAGACUGAAGAGAUGGAGAAACAUGUAGAGACACACACACGAACACUGUCACCACCAUGCCAUGACACAAUCCAUGUUGCUAUGUAACCGACCAACCAACCUCAGACACUGUUUUCCCAACUAUUUUUGUAUAUUUUUUCAUAAAACUAAUUCUGUAAUUUUUUUGAUUACACCUUUUUAUUUUACUUUAAUCUAAUCUUAUUUUAUUUCAUUUCUUUUUAUCUUUCUUGUGUUUACUUUUGUAUGCAACGAAGCUACGGUGACAAAGUCAUUUACCUCGUGGAUCAUUAAAAAGUCUAAGUCUUUCAUUGAGGACUGACCUGUGUUCAACUCAACUGUGACUUUGCUCCAUGGCUCCAUCUCCUGGUGAAAUGAUACAACUGCAGGUUUUCUCCUCAGGUCAAUGAACUUAAGGAGGAGAAGAAGAAGCUGCAGGAGGAGCUGGAGACCAGAAACAAAGAGAUGGAGGAGAUAAAAGAUGAGCUGGAAAAACUAACUGGUGACCACAACGAGCUUCAAGAGGAGAAGAAGGAGCUGAAGAAGGAGCUGGAGAUCAGAAGCAUGGAACCGGACGAGAUAAAAGAUAAGGUGAAAUACAAGUUCAUAGACAUGGAGAGAGAAGUACAAAGUCACAGAAACAUCAGCCUGCAACCAGCGGCGUCGUUUAGUUAAUGAAGCUGAUCAACAAAGAAGAGGAACAGGAAGAGAAACAUCAGAGAGAAAUAAAGGAG